rnacentral:rRNA from 1 species
AUUGAACGAUGGCGGCAGGCCUAACACAUGCAAGUCGAACGAGUGGCGGACGGGUGAGUAAUGUCUGGGAAACUGCCCGAUGGAGGGGGAUAACUACUGGAAACGGUAGCUAAUACCGCAUACCAUCGGAUGUGCCCAGAUGGGAUUAGCUAGUAGGUGGGGUAAAGGCUCACCUAGGCGACGAUCCCUAGCUGGUCUGAGAGGAUGACCAGCCACACUGGACAUGUGACACGGUCCAGACUCCUACGGGAGGCAGCAGUGGUGAAUAUUGCACAAUGGGCGCAAGCCUAAUGCAUCCAUACCGCGUGGAUGAAGAAGGCCUUCAGGUUGUAAAGUACUUUCAGCGGGGAGGCGUUACCCGCAGAAGAAGCACCGGCUAACUCCGUGCCAGCCGCCGCGGUAAUAC